rfam:Camelus ferus unplaced genomic scaffold scaffold79655, whole genome shotgun sequence.
GGGUAUAGCUCAGUGGUAGAGCACGAGCUUAACAUGCAGGAGGUCCUGGGUUCAAUCCCUGGUACAUCCA